UGGGGAAUAUUGGACAAUGGGCGCAAGCCUGAUCCAGCAACGCCGCGUGGAGGACGAAGGUCUUCGGAUUGUAAACUCCUGUCAGGCGGGACGAAGGGUUGGGGGCAAACAGUCCCCGAUCUUGACGGUACUGCCAGAGGAAGCCCCGGCUAACUCCGUGCCAGCAGCCGCGGUAAUACGGAGGGGGCGAGCGUUAUUCGGAAUCAUUGGGCGUAAAGGGCGCGUAGGCGGCCCGGUAAGUCAAAGGUGAAAUCCCUCGGCUCAACUGAGGAACUGCCUUUGAAACUGUCGGGCUUGAGGCCGGGAGGGGGUAGCGGAAUUCCCAGUGUAGCGGUGAAAUGCGUAGAUAUUGGGAGGAACACCAGUGGCGAAGGCGGCUACCUGGACCGGUUCUGACGCUGAUGCGCGAAAGCGUGGGGAGCAAACAGGAUUAGAUACCCUGGUAGUCCACGCUGUAAACGAUGGGUGCUCGGUGUCGCGGGUAUCGACCCCUGCGGUGCCUUAGCUAACGCGUUAAGCA
rnacentral:rRNA from 1 species